UAAGAAAACGGUUCCCCAUUA
rnacentral:piRNA from 1 species